GUAGGUGGCAAGCGUUGUCCGGAAUUAUUGGGCGUAAAGCGCGCGCAGGCGGUCCUUUAAGUCUGAUGUGAAAGCCCACGGCUCAACCGUGGAGGGUCAUUGGAAACUGGGGGACUUGAGUACAGAAGAGGAAAGCGGAAUUCCACGUGUAGCGGUGAAAUGCGUAGAGAUGUGGAGGAACACCAGUGGCGAAGGCGGCUUUCUGGUCUGUAACUGACGCUGAGGCGCGAGAGCGUGGGGAGCAAACAGGAUUAGAUACCCUGGUAGUCCACGCCGUAAACGAUGAGUGCUAAGUGUUAGGGGGUUUCCGCCCCCCUUAGUGCUGCAGCUAACGCAUUAAGCACUCCGCCUGGGAGUACGGCCGCAAGGCUG
rnacentral:rRNA from 1 species